ACAGCAGUCGCCGCGGUAAUACGGAGGGUGCAAGCGUUAUCCGGAUUUACUGGGUUUAAAGGGUGUGUAGGCGGGUAUUUAAGUCAGUGGUGAAAUCUCCGAGCUCAACUUGGAAACUGCCAUUGAUACUAUUUAUCUUGAAUUUUGUUGAGGUAGGCGGAAUAAGUCAUGUAGCGGUGAAAUGCAUAGAUAUGACUUAGAACACCAAUUGCGAAGGCAGCUUGCUAAACAAAUAUUGACGCUGAGGCACGAAAGCGUGGGGAUCAAACAGGAUUAGAUACCCCCGUAGUCCCUGUCUCUUAUAC
rnacentral:rRNA from 1 species